rnacentral:rRNA from 1 species
CGUAGGGUGCGAGCGUUAAUCGGAAUUACUGGGCGUAAAGCGUGCGCAGGCGGUUUGUUAAGAUAGGCGUGAAAUCCCCGGGCUCAACCUGGGAACUGCGCUUAUGACUGGCAAGCUAGAGUACGGCAGAGGGGGGUGGAAUUCCACGUGUAGCAGUGAAAUGCGUAGAGAUGUGGAGGAACACCAAUGGCGAAGGCAGCCCCCUGGGUCGAUACUGACGCUCAUGCACGAAAGCGUGGGUAGCAAACAGGAUUAGAUACCCUGGUAGUCCACGCCCUGAACGAUGUCAACUAGGUGUUGGGAGGGUAAAACCUUUUAGUACCGGAGCUAACGCGUGAAGUUGACCGCCUGGGGAGUACGGCCGCAAGGUUA